rnacentral:rRNA from 1 species
GGGUCAGUAGGUUGGUCGUGCCACCGGUACGUACUGGUCUCACUGAUUCCUCCUUCCUGAAGAACCGUAGUGCCAUUAAUUUGGUGUUGCGGGGAAACAGGACUGUUACUUUGAAAAAAUUAGAGUGUUUAAAGCAAGCUAACGCUUGAAUACAUUAGCAUGGAAUAAUGAAAUAGGACGAUCGAUCCUAUUUUAUUGGUUUCUAGGAUUGACGUA